rnacentral:rRNA from 1 species
GGGUUGUGAGGUUAAGCGACUAAGCGUACACGGUGGAUGCCCUGGCAGUCAGAGGCGAUGAAGGACGUGCUAAUCUGCGAUAAGCGUCGGUAAGGUGAUAUGAACCGUUAUAACCGGCGAUUUCCGAAUGGGGAAACCCAGUGUGAUUCGUCACACUAUCAUUAACUGAAUCCAUAGGUUAAUGAGGCGAACCGGGGGAACUGAAACAUCUAAGUACCCCGAGGAAAAGAAAUCAACCGAGAUUCCCCCAGUAGCGGCGAGCGAACGGGGAGCAGCCCAGAGCCUGAAUCAGUGUGUGUGUUAGUGGAAGCGUCUGGAAAGGCGUGCGAUACAGGGUGACAGCCCCGUACACAAAAAUGCACAUAUUGUGAGCUCGAUGAGUAGGGCGGGACACGUGGUAUCCUGUCUGAAUAUGGGGGGACCAUCCUCCAAGGCUAAAUACUCCUGACUGACCGAUAGUGAACCAGUACCGUGAGGGAAAGGCGAAAAGAACCCCGGCGAGGGGAGUGAAAAAGAACCUGAAACCGUGUACGUACAAGCAGUGGGAGCACGCUUAGGCGUGUGACUGCGUACCUUUUGUAUAAUGGGUCAGCGACUUAUAUUCUGUAGCAAGGUUAACCGAAUAGGGGAGCCGAAGGGAAACCGAGUCUUAACUGGGCGUUAAGUUGCAGGGUAUAGACCCGAAACCCGGUGAUCUAGCCAUGGGCAGGUUGAAGGUUGGGUAACACUAACUGGAGGACCGAACCGACUAAUGUUGAAAAAUUAGCGGAUGACUUGUGGCUGGGGGUGAAAGGCCAAUCAAACCGGGAGAUAGCUGGUUCUCCCCGAAAGCUAUUUAGGUAGCGCCUCGUGAAUUCAUCUCCGGGGGUAGAGCACUGUUUCGGCAAGGGGGUCAUCCCGACUUACCAACCCGAUGCAAACUGCGAAUACCGGAGAAUGUUAUCACGGGAGACACACGGCGGGUGCUAACGUCCGUCGUGAAGAGGGAAACAACCCAGACCGCCAGCUAAGGUCCCAAAGUCAUGGUUAAGUGGGAAACGAUGUGGGAAGGCCCAGACAGCCAGGAUGUUGGCUUAGAAGCAGCCAUCAUUUAAAGAAAGCGUAAUAGCUCACUGGUCGAGUCGGCCUGCGCGGAAGAUGUAACGGGGCUAAACCAUGCACCGAAGCUGCGGCAGCGACGCUGAUGCGUUGUUGGGUAGGGGAGCGUUCUGUAAGCCUGCGAAGGUGUGCUGUGAGGCAUGCUGGAGGUAUCAGAAGUGCGAAUGCUGACAUAAGUAACGAUAAAGCGGGUGAAAAGCCCGCUCGCCGGAAGACCAAGGGUUCCUGUCCAACGUUAAUCGGGGCAGGGUGAGUCGACCCCUAAGGCGAGGCCGAAAGGCGUAGUCGAUGGGAAACAGGUUAAUAUUCCUGUACUUGGUGUUACUGCGAAGGGGGGACGGAGAAGGCUAUGUUGGCCGGGCGACGGUUGUCCCGGUUUAAGCGUGUAGGCUGGUUUUCCAGGCAAAUCCGGAAAAUCAAGGCUGAGGCGUGAUGACGAGGCACUACGGUGCUGAAGCAACAAAUGCCCUGCUUCCAGGAAAAGCCUCUAAGCAUCAGGUAACAUCAAAUCGUACCCCAAACCGACACAGGUGGUCAGGUAGAGAAUACCAAGGCGCUUGAGAGAACUCGGGUGAAGGAACUAGGCAAAAUGGUGCCGUAACUUCGGGAGAAGGCACGCUGAUAUGUAGGUGAAGCGACUUGCUCGUGGAGCUGAAAUCAGUCGAAGAUACCAGCUGGCUGCAACUGUUUAUUAAAAACACAGCACUGUGCAAACACGAAAGUGGACGUAUACGGUGUGACGCCUGCCCGGUGCCGGAAGGUUAAUUGAUGGGGUCAGCGCAAGCGAAGCUCUUGAUCGAAGCCCCGGUAAACGGCGGCCGUAACUAUAACGGUCCUAAGGUAGCGAAAUUCCUUGUCGGGUAAGUUCCGACCUGCACGAAUGGCGUAAUGAUGGCCAGGCUGUCUCCACCCGAGACUCAGUGAAAUUGAACUCGCUGUGAAGAUGCAGUGUACCCGCGGCAAGACGGAAAGACCCCGUGAACCUUUACUAUAGCUUGACACUGAACAUUGAGCCUUGAUGUGUAGGAUAGGUGGGAGGCUUUGAAGUGUGGACGCCAGUCUGCAUGGAGCCGACCUUGAAAUACCACCCUUUAAUGUUUGAUGUUCUAACGUGGACCCGUGAUCCGGGUUGCGGACAGUGUCUGGUGGGUAGUUUGACUGGGGCGGUCUCCUCCUAAAGAGUAACGGAGGAGCACGAAGGUUGGCUAAUCCUGGUCGGACAUCAGGAGGUUAGUGCAAUGGCAUAAGCCAGCUUGACUGCGAGCGUGACGGCGCGAGCAGGUGCGAAAGCAGGUCAUAGUGAUCCGGUGGUUCUGAAUGGAAGGGCCAUCGCUCAACGGAUAAAAGGUACUCCGGGGAUAACAGGCUGAUACCGCCCAAGAGUUCAUAUCGACGGCGGUGUUUGGCACCUCGAUGUCGGCUCAUCACAUCCUGGGGCUGAAGUAGGUCCCAAGGGUAUGGCUGUUCGCCAUUUAAAGUGGUACGCGAGCUGGGUUUAGAACGUCGUGAGACAGUUCGGUCCCUAUCUGCCGUGGGCGCUGGAGAACUGAGGGGGGCUGCUCCUAGUACGAGAGGACCGGAGUGGACGCAUCACUGGUGUUCGGGUUGUCAUGCCAAUGGCACUGCCCGGUAGCUAAAUGCGGAAGAGAUAAGUGCUGAAAGCAUCUAAGCACGAAACUUGCCCCGAGAUGAGUUCUCCCUGACUCCUUGAGAGUCCUGAAGGAACGUUGAAGACGACGACGUUGAUAGGCCGGGUGUGUAAGCGCAGCGAUGCGUUGAGCUAACCGGUACUAAUGAACCGUGAGGCUUAACCUUACAACGCCGAAGGUGUUU